CAACCAGGCAUCGGCAACGGGAUGCUGUGAACCGUGUCAGGCCCUGACGGGAGCAGCACUAAGCAGAUUUUCCCGUGUGCCGGUGUCUGGUUGAUA
rnacentral:SRP_RNA from 1 species